rnacentral:tRNA from 1 species
CUUAGUUCAGUUGGUAGAACGUAGGUUUCCAAAACCUGAUGUCAGAGGUUCAAGUCCUCUA